AGGGUCUCUCCGAUAAAUCUGAUGCAUUGCUUUGGGAUAUUAUAAAUAGGGAAGAAAUACCGACUUCCCUUCAGAAGAUAAUUAAGUUCUGAUUUUCAUCAUGGCCGUCGACUAUCCACGCUUUCUUCUCCUCCUCCGAUGUCCAGUCCUUUCGAUAAGUGCUUAUGGAGCACUCUAAUAGCCGCAUGACACGAUUCUUGAGAACCAGAUGCUAAAAAAGAGUUGUGAAGCAGUUGAUCAUGCUACGAGAUUGAAGGAGGAUUCAAUGCUUUUGCUGAGAGUGUUAUCAUACUGGUCAUUUGGAUACUUUAUGGUUAAUGAACUAGGUGCUGGUUGCAUUACCUGAGAUUAGAAUCUUCCAGGUUGGUGUUUGCGAGAUGAUGAGCUCUGGGAAUCUGGGAAAUAAAAUCAAACUCAGGGGAGAAAGAAUUGGUUCUGCUAUCGGUAGGAUGUGUUAGUUCAUUUGAUUUUCCACCUCUUCACUGCUUUUGUUGCAUUCUACAAGAACUUUGCACUUACUUCAUUA